GGGGUUAUAGCUUAGUGGUAGAGCAUUUAAUUGCAGAUCAAAAGAUCCACAGUUCAAAUCUGGGUGCGCUA